rnacentral:rRNA from 1 species
CAGGCCUAACACAUGCAAGUCGAACGGUAACAGGUCUUCCGAUGCUGACAAGUGGGGGACGGGUGAGUAAUGCGUAUGAAUCUGUCUUUUACUGGGGGACAACCCCCGGAAACUUGGGCUAAUACCGCAUGAGCCCUGAGGGGGAAAGCGGGGGAUCUUCGGACCUCGCGCUAAGGGAAGAGCCUACGUCUGAUUAGCUAGUUGGUAGGGUAAAGGCCUACCAAGGCGACGAUCAGUAGCUGGUCUGAGAGGACGACCAGCCACACUGGGACUGAACACGGCCCAGACUCCUACGGGAGGCAGCAGUGGGGAAUUUUUCGCAAUGGGGGCAACCCUGACGAAGCAAUGCCGCGUGGAUGAAGAAGGCCUUCGGGUUGUAAAGUCCUUUCUUGGGGGACGAAAAGGCGGGUCCUAAUACGAUCUGCUGUUGACGUGAACCCAAGAAGAAGCACCGGCUAACUCCGUGCCACCAGCCGCGGUAAUACAGGGGGUGCAAGCGUUAAUCGGAAUCACUGGGCGUAAAGGGUGCGUAGGCGGUACGUUAGGUCUGUCGUGAAAUCCCCGGGCUCAACCUGGGAAUGGCGGUAGAAACCGGCGCACUAUAGUAUGGGAGAGGGUGGUGGAAUUCCCCGUGUAUCGGUGAAAUGCGUAAGAUCUGGAGGAACAUCCUGUCGAAGCGGCCAUCUGUGCCAAUACUGAGACUGAGACACGAAAGCGUGUGGAGCACACAGGAUUAUAUACCCUCGGAGUCCACGCCCUAUACGAUGAAUACAAUAUGUUUGGUACCUAUCGUACUGAGUGUCGUAGCUAAUGCGAUAAGUAAUUCCGCUGCGGAGUACGGCCGCCAGGUUAAUACUCAUAGGAAUUGACGGCGGCCGCCACAGAGCUGAGCAUGUUGUUUAUUACUAUGAUGCGCGAAGAACAUUUCUUAGUGUUCGACAUGUUCGGGAGUUAUGUACAAAUACGGAAUGCUCUUCUGGGAAUCGGACACAUGUGCUGCAUGCCUGUCGUCACUCGGGAUAUGGAGAGUUGUGGCUAGUUCGCUAACGGACCAACCCUGGUCAUAUUUCCA